rnacentral:tRNA from 1 species
UUUCUUUUAGCUUAAGCUAAAGCGUUAGUUUGAAGCACUGAAGUUAACUGUAAAGUUAGGGAAGG